CAGUGUGAGUCAGUGAGUGACCGGUGACUGGCUGCUGCAGCCAAUGAUGCGAUUCACAUACGUAUUUACCAUAGACUGUAUAUAAUGGUAUUUACGCAGCUAAUCAACGUGAGACGUCCUUAUGUGCAGCCAUCGUUGUUCUCAUAGAUAUGAAUGAGUAGAUAGGACACGCCCCUUUGAGCUGCGUGCUACAGCGAGGCUAAGCUAGUGGGGGAAAAGUUUCAGUGCAUUCCGUUGAUGUAGACGGCGUGAAAACGGAAACAAGAAGUAUGCCGGCUCACUGUGCUGCAUACAAUUACACACUACGUCGUACGAUUGAGACAAGGAAACUUGGAAUGACUUUUCAUAGGUUUCCCAGAGACUAUGGGUUGAGGAGGAAUUGGAAGUUUGUCGGCUUAGACCUGGUGUCAUUCCAUAAGUGUUAAACUUCCUGGCUCAUCUUGAAAGAGUAUGUGCCAGAAAGACCACGACCAAGCAGCCUUGAGAUCUUAGGCAGCGUCUCCCUGAGGUCCCUCUCUAUCUCCCCACACAUCCACCAACCACUGGAACACAUCUCCAAAGUUCUGCGGGCCAGCUCAGCUUCCCCUCAGAAGAAGUGCUGCCACCUGCCAGAUGAAGGAGCCUUUUGAGAGGCAGCUGGCAUCGUGAUUGGACUGUACUUUGGUCUGUUCCAAUCCAGCUUCAGCUCCAGAGACGGCAGGCGGGACGAGUCAACGGAGGCCUGGUGGACGAAGGCAUGCAGCUGAGUACAAUCCAGAAAACAACAGAGGAGGAGUGCAGCAGCCCAGAGCCAGAACAAACAGCAGUAUGUCUCUUAGAAAACAUCAUAGUAUAGCCUUUGGUAUGAAAAAACGCCAUCAUAUACAUCGUAUAUUGUACAAAUAACAAGUCAAAGGAAAGAGACAUACAUUGUAGAAUUGUAGUAAUUGUGGGCUGACUGAUUUACUGAUUAUCAGUAUUUUAUUUUUUACUGAUUUACGGUAAUAAAUACAUUUAAAAAUGGUGCUACUUUGGCUCUGAACCUUUAUCUACCUGUGGUCGCUCUGUCUUCUGGAGUGAUUUGAUUGGUUAUACGUCACGAAUAAAACUCCUUUAACUUAACAUCUGUAAACAAAACAAAAACGUAUCAACAAAGUUUUCUGUUAGAGUUUGUGUUCUUCUAAGUUUAACUCCAAGAUUUUAAAUACUUUCAUUUACUGCAAAUGAAUAUCUACUCCAAAUGUCUCACUAAUAAUCAUUAUCAGCCUUAAAAACCCACAAAACACCCCUCUAUACUCGACCACACUUAGUACAGUCCGGUUCCCCCUUCUAUAAAUCUGCUUGGAAUCUUCCACUUCCUGUUUGUCAAAGUGGCCUUCUACCUGGACAGGUUUUGUUGGAGCUCAUGCAACAAACAUUUUGGGUAACUGCACUUUAAUAUGGAUGGAUGACACUGAAUUAGAGUCUGUUUUAAUGAGACUGAGUUAAGAUGUGUAGCUCUGUCAUUAAAUAGGAAAUUAUUUCUCAGAAUUCACAGAGAAAAGUCUGAAAUGUUUGCUAGGUUAGCGUCCCACAUGUUCUUUGGCUCAGCUAAAGCUAACUCUCUCCAACUUCUGGAUCUCUUGAGUUGCUUGUUGUUAAAAUAUCUUGCUAGAGGUGCUGAAGCUCAGAAAGUCUGAGAUGUUUGUUCAAAAUAAGCUCAUUCUCAAGUCUUAUCUGAACUGUCCUCUUUUGUUUGAACUUUCCCUAAACUUAGGAGUUAAUGACAGAGCAGCACAUCCAGACUCAGUCUCAUUUAUGUAGAGAUUAAACUUCAGUGUCAUUCAUUGAUGUUAAAGUGCAGUUUUUCAAAUGUUUGUUGCACAUGCUCCCGACCAAACCAGUCCAGGUGGAAGACGAUGUGAAGAGAAAGCUCCAGAGGAUGAAUAUCACACAUUUACGUUGGAAAUAAAUGUCCUUUAAUUAGACAUUGUCAUGCAAAAGUUGGAUUUCCCUUUAAUGAUGUUCAAAUCUUUGUUGAGUGUUUUGUUGAUGUUGGUUUCUAAAUGUUUUUGACACUCGGCCCCAAAGAUUAAAACCUUUUACGGCUCACAAGCUGCAACAAUUCACACAUUAUCAACUAUCUUUCUGACUAAACUAAGAUAAAAAGUGAAAAACUGCCUGAUUCCUGCAUCAUGAAUGUAAAUCUUUUUGGUUUUUAUGACAGUAAACUGAAUAUAUUUGGGUUUGACAUUUUAUAAACCAAAACAAGAAAUGAAUUACUGGAGAAAACAACAGAUUAAUGGACAAAGAAAAUGUGUUUUCCAACAUAUAUGGCUGAAUUACUCCAACAUUACAAGAUACAUACAAUUUGAAUUCAAUUUUAUUUAUAUAACGCCAAUUACAGGUCAAAUUGUCUCAAGACACUUUAUUUUUAUAUUUUUUGUCAUAUUUAAAAUAUGACAAAGUAAGAAAUUUAAACCUCUUGACUAAUCCAAUUUAUUAUUUGGUUUUUAAGAGACUAAUCGACAACUAAAAUAACUUUCUCCACUAAAACUAAUAAACAUGAGGUCAAAUAGAAGGAACAGUUUUAAAUACUGCAGUCCCACGACGACAAGAAUAAAGUUUGUCAACAAAAACUAAAUCUGCUGGUGGAUUCCAUUAAAGUCCUAAUAAAUGAUAAUAAAGUGUGAUACUAAAGGUUUGUGGUGCUAAAAAUGUCAAAGUAAAGAUAUCAAGUUGAACAUCUGGAUGGAGGUUGAUAAAAGUUGACCUCCCUUCAUUUCUCUGGAGCGACUCCAUGGAUUUUAUGGAUGGUGGUUAAAGACCUGCUCUUCUAGUGGUCUUCCUUCUAGUCGCUGUAAAAAGUCAGUCCAUCCUGGCCGACUUCAACACCUCUUCAUGACAACUUGUUCUGCCUCCGACCUGGUGGAAACUCCAGAAACUCGGGAAAACCUGUGGAGACUCGAAGAACUCGUGGAGACUCGAAGA